rnacentral:rRNA from 1 species
UACAGAGGGGGCAAGCGUUGUCCGGAAUCAUUGGGCGUAAAGCGCGUGUAGGCGGUCCGGUUAGUCGGCUGUGAAAGUCAAGGGCUCAACCCUUGAAUGCCGGUCGAUACUGCCGUGCUUGAGGACUGGAGAGGAGACUGGAAUUUACGGUGUAGCGGUGAAAUGCGUAGAUAUCGUAAGGAAGACCAGUGGCGAAGGCGGGUCUCUGGACAGUUCCUGACGCUGAGGCACGAAGGUCAGGGGAGCAAACGGG